UAUAAAGUACACUAAUCAACUUAAUUUCCCGGUGAUGGUAGCAUUAAUAGGCUGUAUGCAUUAACAGGGUGUAUCGUAAACGAAUAAACAUCGAUACCGGUCACAGAACACGCGCGGCACGUUCGAAGAAAGGUUAGGUUGGCAAGCUAGGCUUCAACGGACGCUCUUGUUCUCAGAAAAAAUUCUACCCACACAGCUAGCCGGUUCCAACGGCGGGAGAAUCCCUUGUUGACACGACCGGAUACGCAGCGGAGCGGGGAAGGGCGGAGAGACGGGCUCAGGUACAAAGGCCCUAAAGUGCGCUGCGCUGCCUAUAAUCGGCAACGACGAAUGCGGUCGGACCGGGCAGAUAGACGGAAGGAAGGUGUGCAAGGCAAACGGCCUUGGACGAAAUGCCUAGAGAAAACUACGAAAACCAGUUUUCGUCAACGAUCAGCUGUGGAUUGGAGCAGAUGUUACGCAGCUACCUCUAUUUAUGCCCUCGGUAUUCAUACGUAACAGCUGCUCAUUGGUCACCAGAAUGGAGGGGAUGGAGUUGCUCCGUACCCUAGAAAAGCCUCCAAAAACGGACUUGUGAUUAUCAGAAUCAAAACACUAAAAUUGAUAUCAUAAACCAAUGAUAUCAUAAACCACUGCUACAAACCACCUCCUGCAUUUUUCAAGUCAUCAGGUUUUUUCAAAGUUUUACCCUGAUACCACAUGAAAUCAAGUACACAUAUAUUCCAGCACUCAAGAUGCUGUAACACACAUCUCCCUAGAUAAAUCCUGGUAAGGACCAAAUGUCCCUGGUACAGGCAUCCCUACUCAAAAGAAAAACGAUU